rnacentral:rRNA from 1 species
UACGUAGGUGGCAAGCGUUGUCCGGAAUUAUUGGGCGUAAAGCGCGCGCAGGUGGUUCCUUAAGUCUGAUGUGAAAGCCCACGGCUCAACCGUGGAGGGUCAUUGGAAACUGGGGAACUUGAGUGCAGAAGAGGAAAGUGGAAUUCCAAGUGUAGCGGUGAAAUGCGUAGAGAUUUGGAGGAACACCGGUGGCGAAGGCGGCAUCCUGGACCGAGAUUGACGCUGAGGCGCGAAAGCCAGGGGAGCAAACGGG